GAGUGCUCAAAGCAGGCCUUUGGUCGCCUGAAAACUGUGUGCAUGGAAUAAUGGAAUAGGGCCUCGGUUCUAUUUUGUUGGCUUUUCUGAACUUGAGGUAAUGAUUAAUAGGGNCAGACGGGGGCAUUNGUAUUGCGACGUUAGAGGUGAAAUUCUUGGAUCGUCGCAAGACGAACGGAUGCGAAAGCGUUUGCCAAGAAUGUUUUCGCUAAUCAAGAACGAAAGUUAGAGGUUCGAAGGCGAUCAGAUACCGCCCUAGUUCUAACCAUAAACGAUGCCAGCCAGCGAUGCGCCGAAGUUCCUCCGAUGACUCGGCGCGCAGCUUCCGGGAAACCAAAGCUUUUGGGUUCCGGGGGAAGUAUGGUUGCAAAGCUGAAACUUAAAGGAAUUGACGGAAGGGCACCACCAGGAGUGGAGCCUGCGGCUUAAUUUGACUCAACACGGGAAACCUCACCAGGCCCGGACAUCGGCAGGAUUGACAGAUUGAGAGCUCUUUCUUGAUUCGAUGGGUGGUGGUGCAUGGCCGUUCUUAGUUGGUGGAGCGAUUUGUCUGGUUAAUUCCGAUAACGAACGAGACUCUAGCCUAUUAAAUAGGCGCCGUUAUCUUUACGCUAGCNGNU
rnacentral:rRNA from 1 species